rnacentral:siRNA from 1 species
AGUAACAUCCUGCCAAACCCGUCC